UAAUGGCUUACCAAGGGCGACCCAUCGGGUAGGUUGGUCUGAGAGGAUGAUCAGCCACACUGGGAUUGAGAACGGCCCAGACUCCUACGGGGGGCAGCAGUGAGGAAUUUUCCGCAAUGGACGCAAGUCUGACGGAGCAACGCCGCGUGCAGGAUGACGGCCUUCGGGUUGUAAACUGCUUUUCUGAGAGACGAGCAAGGACGGUAUCUCAGGAAGAAGCCCCGGCUAACUACGUGCCAGCAGCCGCGGUAAUACGUAGGGGGCAAGCGUUGUCCGGAGUUACUGGGCGUAAAGCGCUCGCAGGCGGUGAUGUACGUAGAGGGUUCCAGCCAUACGGCUUAUCCAAUGGAGUGCUCGCUAAACGGCAUGACUUGAGGGCUAGAGAGGGACAUGGAACUCCGGGUGGAGUGGCGAAAUG
rnacentral:rRNA from 1 species